UACGGAGGGGGCUAGCGUUGCUCGGAAUCACUGGGCGUAAAGGGCGCGUAGGCGGCGUUUUAAGUCGGGGGUGAAAGCCUGUGGCUCAACCACAGAAUGGCCUUCGAUACUGGGACGCUUGAGUAUGGUAGAGGUUGGUGGAACUGCGAGUGUAGAGGUGAAAUUCGUAGAUAUUCGCAAGAACACCGGUGGCGAAGGCGGCCAACUGGACCAUUACUGACGCUGAGGCGCGAAAGCGUGGGGAGCAAACAGG
rnacentral:rRNA from 1 species